CCGGCGGCUGCGCGGCUCCGAGGCAGCGCCGCUGCCGAGCGCGGAGAGCUGCGCCCUGCCCGGGGCCAGCGGGGGCGGCUCGCCCAGCUCUGCCAGCGGCAGUCCGCCCCCGGCAGCCAGAGCCUUGCCCGCAUCCUUCCUGCGAGCUGAGAGGGACAUCGGCGAGAGCUGGAGAGCCCCGGCUGGAGCCGUGCGGAGGGAGGGCUGCAACAGGGCAGAGGAGGAUGCUGAGACGCUCCUUUCUACAGCUGUACAGCACAGAAACAUUUCUGCAAGCUUGAAGCAAAGGGACUGUUACAUGGGAGGAAGCACUGAGCACUUCUGGGCAAGCAAGCCAGCAGAUAAAAGCGGCCUCUUGAAAAGUGGAGCAUUCCUUUAG
rnacentral:lncRNA from 1 species